CGAGAAAGUAAGUAAGGGUGUAUGGAGGAUGCCUAGACUCUUAGAGGCGAUGAAGGACGUGAUAAGCUGCGAUAAGCUGCGGUGAUUGGCAAAUACGAGUUAAUCCGCAGAUUUCCGAAUGGGACAACCCAGCAGGUUGAAGACCUGUUAUCCGCAAGGAGGCUAACCCGGGGAACUGAAACAUCUAAGUACCCGGAGGAAGAGAAAACAAUAGUGAUUCCGUAAGUAGUGGCGAGCGAACGCGGAUUAGCCCAAACCGGUAUAGUUACGGCUAUGCCGGGGUUGUAGGACCUCAACAUCUGAAGCUUAGCGAACUGGAACAAGUUGGGAAACUUGGCGAUACAGGGUGAUAGCCCCGUACAGGUAAGCGAAGCGGAAGUAGAGGGAUCCUGAGUAGGGGGGAGCCGGUGAAACUCCCUUUGAAUCUGCCAGCACCAUCUGGUAAGGCUAAAUACUCCUAAGAGAUCGAUAGUGAACAAGUACCGUGAGGGAAAGGUGAAAAGUACUCCGAAUAGGAGGGUGAAAUAGUACCUGAAACCAUACACUUACAAGCGGUCGGAGCCCUUUAGUGGGGUGACGGCGUGCCUUUUGCAUAAUGAGCCUACGAGUUACUCUUCAUUGGCAAGGUUAAGGAUUUAAGAUCCGUAGCCGGAGCGAAAGCGAGUCUGAAUAGGGCGACAGAGUCAGUGGAGGUAGACGCGAAACCUGGUGAUCUACCCAUGGUCAGGUUGAAGUUUGGGUAAAACCAAAUGGAGGACCGAACCAAUAUACGUUGAAAAGUGUUUGGAUGAACUGUGGGUAGGGGUGAAAGGCCAAUCAAACCAGGAAAUAGCUCGUACUCCCCGAAAUGCUUUUAGGAGCAGCGUCGGGCGUAUUCUGAUAGAGGUAGAGCUACCAAUUGGACUAGGGGGAGUCAAAUCCUACCAAAUCCAGAUGAACUCCGAAUGCUAUCAGAUUUACCCGGCAGUGAGGGUAAGGGUGCUAAGGUCCUUAUCCGAGAGGGAAAGAACCCAGAUCUUCAGCUAAGGUCCCCAAGUAUAUGCUAAGUUGAACUAAGGCGGUCCAGUUGCAUUGACAGCCAGGAGGUUGGCUUGGAAGCAGCCAUUCCUUUAAAGAGUGCGUAACAGCUCACUGGUCGAGCGACAGGGCAUCGAUAAUAAUCGGGCAUCAAGCAUAUCACCGAAGCUAAGAACUCGCAAGAGUGGUAGGGGAGCAUUCCAUUUGCAGUGAAGUUGUGAGGUAACUCAUGGUGGAGCGUAUGGAAAAGCAAAUGUAGGCAUAAGUAACGAUAAGGCGGGUGAGAAACCCGCCCACCGAUAGACUAAGGUUUCCUGAUCAACGCUAAUCGGAUCAGGGUUAGUCGGGACCUAAGGCGAACCCGAAAGGGGUAGUCGAUGGACAACGGGUUAAUAUUCCCGUACUUGCUUAAUACAGUGAUGGAGUGACGGAGUAGUGAAAGCCUCGCGCGCUGACGGAAUAGCGCGUUGAAGGGUGUAGGUAUAGGACCGGUAGGCAAAUCCGCCGGACCUGCUGAAACCUGAUAGUACAACAAUCCUUCGGGAGCGUUGAUAGUAGGCCUAAUCAGACUUCCAAGAAAAACUUCUAAGCGUUACGUAUUGAGCAACCCGUACCGCAAACCGACACAGGUAGUCAAGGAGAGAAUCCUGAGGUGCUCGAGUGAUUCGUGGCUAAGGAACUAGGCAAAAUGACCCUGUAACUUCGGGAGAAGGGGUGCUUCCUCCAUUAAGGAGAAGCCGCAGUGAAAAGACCCAGGCGACUGUUUAACAAAAACACAUGGCUUUGCGAAAUCGAAAGAUGAUGUAUAAGGCCUGACACCUGCCCGGUGCUGGAAGGUUAAGGGGGGACGUUAGCUUCGGCAAAGCGUUGAACUGAAGCCCCAGUAAACGGCGGCCGUAACUAUAACGGUCCUAAGGUAGCGAAAUUCCUUGUCGGGUAAGUUCCGACCUGCACGAAUGGUGCAACGAUCUGGGUACUGUCUCGGCCACGAGCUCGGUGAAAUUGUAGUAACGGUGAAGAUGCCGUUUACCCGCGACGGGACGGAAAGACCCCAUGAACCUUUACUAUAGCUUCACAUUGGUAUUGGGUAAUUGAUGUGUAGGAUAGGUGGGAGACUUCGAUCCUGCGUCGCCAGGCGUAGGUUAGUCGUCCUUGAAAUACCACCCUUCAAUUAUCUGAUGCCUAAUCCCACAAGGAGACAGUGUGUGGUGGGUAGUUUGACUGGGGUGGUCGCCUCCAAAAGAGUAACGGAGGCUUUCAAAGGUUCCCUCAGUACGGUUGGUAAUCGUGCGAAGAGCGCAAUAGCAUAAGGGAGCUUGACUGUGAGACCUACAAGUCGAGCAGGUAGGAAACUAGGAUAUAGUGAUCCGGUGGUUCCGCAUGGAAGGGCCAUCGCUCAAAGGAUAAAAGGUACUCUGGGGAUAACAGGCUGAUCUCCCCCAAGAGCUCACAUCGACGGGGAGGUUUGGCACCUCGAUGUCGGCUCGUCACAUCCUGGGGCUGGAGAAGGUCCCAAGGGUUGGGCUGUUCGCCCAUUAAAGUGGCACGCGAGCUGGGUUCAGAACGUCGUGAGACAGUUCGGUCCCUAUCUGUCGUGGGCGUUAGAGAUUUGAGAGGACUUGACUUUAGUACGAGAGGACCGAGUUGAACGAACCGCUGGUCUAUCAGUUGUGCCGCCAGGUGCAUCGCUGAGUAGCUACGUUCGGAUGAGAUAAGCGCUGAAAGCAUCUAAGCGCGAAACUCACCUCAAGAUGAGAUCUCUUUAUAAGGGUCGUUAUAGACGAUGACGUUGAUAGGCUGCAGGUGUAAAGUCAGAAAUGGCAAAGCCGAGCAGUACUAAUUGCCCGUAAGCUUUCUCGUA
rnacentral:rRNA from 1 species